rnacentral:rRNA from 1 species
UACGAAGGGGGCUAGCGUUGCUCGGAAUCACUGGGCGUAAAGGGUGCGUAGGCGGGUUUUUAAGUCAGAGGUGAAAUCCUGGAGCUCAACUCCAGAACUGCCUUUGAUACUGAAGAUCUUGAGUUCGGGAGAGGUGAGUGGAACUGCGAGUGUAGAGGUGAAAUUCGUAGAUAUUCGCAAGAACACCAAUGGCGAAGGCGGCUCACUGGCCCGAUACUGACGCUGAGGCACGAAAGCGUGGGGAGCAAACAGG